rnacentral:pre_miRNA from 1 species
GAAAAGGCAAACCCUGGAUUUCCGUGUCUAACAUUUGACUGUCCGUUUUAUAUGAAAUUUUUUUUAUAAUUAGUAUUUUCAUUGUUGUUAGAUGAUAAAACAUGAUUAAUAUUUUAUGCGUGACUUGUCUUUUUAAUUUCUUUCAUAUUUUUUUAAAUAAGACGAAUGGUUAAACAUUGGACACGGAAAUCCAAG